CAGAGGUUUCAGGAUACUGUAGAUAGGCCUUCUUCUUAGUCCCUUGAUUGAAGAUGUUUAUUGAUUAUGGAGGCACUUUAGAAUACAAUGCAGAAAAGAUUUAAAAUAAGUAGUGAGGACAAUUAUUCUUUUUCGUUUGUUGACACAGUCAAAUGGAGAUGAAGGUGGCAAGUGGCGAAAGUGAUGGCUGAAAUAUCGAAGAUUUCUUUUAUUCUUUUGGAUGUCUUUUCUUUUCCCUUUUAUUUUAGCCUCUCCUCCUUUCAUUUUUCUCACAAACCAUUUUAUACUAUCUCAAAUGUCUUAACUUUCCAUCUCUGUGACGGAUACCAACAUGACAUUAUUUUAGAUAUUUAUUUCAUCCAACACCUUCGUUUAUAUUACUCAUGAUUUAAUUGUAUUGGGGACAAGAAUCCAUGGGCUGAGCUACAUGAGUUGUUAUCACGUG
rnacentral:lncRNA from 1 species